ACACGCUUCCCCACUGAGGGAAGACCAUGUGACUAUACAACAGGAAGGUAGUUGUUUACAAGCCAGGAAGAGAGCCCUCACCAGAAACCAAAUUGGCUGGCGCCUUGAUCAUGGACUCCUGGGCUCCGGAACUGUAAGAAAAUUUGUGUUGUGGAAGCCACCCAGCCCAUGGUAUUUCGUUAUGGCAGCCUGAGCAGAGGUGGUAGCUAUGUGGACAGUUUUUGGACUUCUCUAUUGUUGCCCUUCAUCACUCAGCAGUGAAGAAUGAAAAUCAACAGAGCUUUCCCCAGCCUGCUGCUUAAGCAGCUGCUAGCAGGCUGAGGCUGCCCAGCCUCAUUAACCCAUUAGAUGCUGCGUUCGCCCGGGAGUCAUUCUUAAUGAGGCUGCUGCAGAGACGGCGUUUCACCAUGUUGCCCAGACUGGUCUCGAACUCCUGGCUUCAAGUGAUCCUCCUGCCUCAACCUCCCAAAGUGCUGGUAUUACAGAUGAGAAAACAGAAGCAAAGGCAGAAAGAUGCUACAUUGCCAGCUUUGAAGAUGGAGGGAAGAGGUCACAAACCAAGGAA
rnacentral:lncRNA from 1 species